AAGUCGUAACAAGGUUUCCGUAGGUGAACCUGCGGAAGGAUCAUUAGUAUACAGCAGCAAUGCUGAAAUACAGUCAAUAUUGUGAAUAUAUACCACUCUUCCCAGCUUGAGCAGUGCUCUUUAAGCGUGAAUAAAUGCUACUGGGACUUUUUUCUGUUUAAAAAAUUGUUCACUAAACAAACACACACACUUUCAACAAUGGAUCUCUUGGUUCUU
rnacentral:misc_RNA from 1 species